rnacentral:tRNA from 1 species
UUUAUGUUAUUCUAAUUAAGAUUCCUCACUUUCUAUGGGGAGAUGUUCUUUGAACACAUCAGG